AGUGAACGCUGGCGGUAGGCCUAACACAUGCAAGUCGAACGGCAGCACAGUAAGAGCUUGCUCUUACGGGUGGCGAGUGGCGGACGGGUGAGGAAUACAUCGGAAUCUACAUUUUCGAGGGGGAUAACGUAGGGAAACUUACGCUAAUACCGCAUAAGACCUACGGGUGAAAGCAGGGGAACUUCGGACCUUGCGCGAUUGAAUGAGCCGAUGUCGGAUUAGCUAGUUGGCGGGGUAAAGGCCCACCAAGGCGACGAUCCGUAGCUGGUCUGAGAGGAUGAUCAGCCACACUGGAACUGAGACACGGUCCAGACUCCUACGGGAGGCAGCAGUGGGGAAUAUUGGACAAUGGGCGCAAGCCUGAUCCAGCCAUACCGCGUGGGUGAAGAAGGCCUUCGGGUUGUAAAGCCCUUUUGUUGGGAAAGAAAAGCAGCAGGUUAAUACCCCGCUGUUCUGACGGUACCCAAAGAAUAAGCACCGGCUAACUUCGUG
rnacentral:rRNA from 1 species